AUUGAACGCUGGCGGCAGGCUUAACACAUGCAAGUCGAGCGAGCGGCGGACGGGUGAGUAAUGUCUGGGAAACUGCCUGAUGGAGGGGGAUAACUACUGGAAACGGUAGCUAAUACCGCAUAACAUCAGAUGUCCACAGGUGGGAUUAGCUAGUAGGUGGGGUAAUGAAUCACCUAGGCGACGCUCCCUAGCUGGUCGGAGAGGAUGACCAGCCACACUAGAACUGAGACACGGUCCAGAGUACUACGAGAGGCAGCAGUGGGGAAUAUUGCACAAAGGGCGCAAGCCUGAUGCAGCCAGGCCGCGUGUGGGAAGAAGGCCUUCGGGUUUUAAAGCACUUUAAGCGAGGAGGCGUUACUCGCAGAAGAAGCACCGGCUAACUCCGUGCCAGCAGCCGCGGUAAUUC
rnacentral:rRNA from 1 species